GCCAGCAGCCCAUCUAUGGACUGAAGAAGUAUUGUGACCCCAGAAUCUCCUGCACAUCUGCACAUGAAGCCAGCGGUGGGCAGAUUUCCAUCAUCACGUUUGUGCUGAGGUGUGGGGUCUCACAUGCGAUUGGCCACGGCUCCCAUCGGCUCAGAGCGGGGGACCGCAGUCCGUCAGAUUCAGCCUCUCUUCACGGACCUUUGCAGGAGAAACGGGCAGAAAGGGGAGAGGGGACAUGCUGCUUUUGAGAUCUCAACGUGGGAUUAAGACUCUCUCUUCUGCUCCGUCUCUUUCUUUUGACUUUUUUUCCGAGUGAGCAGUCUGUCAUUCUUGAAAGGGGUAUGCAGGGAAAAAUAGAUCCAGUACAAAAGUGCCGCUCGACAUCAGGUGGGUGGAAGUUGAGCAAAGCAUCCUGGGUAGGUGUACACACACACACACCUUAGUAAAAACAGUCACUAUAAGCUGUAAGGAAUAGAAUUGGUGUUUAGCUCGGGGUUAAGCAUCGAAAGAGUUUAACACACACAAGAAAAAUACACACCAUCUUUCAUGUGCAAAUAAACAGAGGCACUAAAAAAAUACGAGCACCUUUAAUCGCAC